rnacentral:rRNA from 1 species
GCCGUCCGAGUUGUAAUCUGGAGAAGCGUUUUCAGCGCCGGCCCGCGUACAAGUCCCCUGGAACGGGGCGUCGCAGAGGGUGAGAAUCCCGUCUCUGACGCGGUUCGUGCCGGCGCGUUGCGAUGCGCUCUCGAAGAGUCGAGUUGUUUGGGAAUGCAGCUCAAAACGGGUGGUAAAUUCCAUCUAAAGCUAAAUACUGGCGAAAGACCGAUAGCGAACAAGUACCGUGAGGGAAAGAUGAAAAGCACUUUGGAAAGAGAGUCAAACAGUACGUGAAAUUGUUGAAAGGGAAACGCUUGAAGUCAGUCGCGUCUCCCGGGACUCAGUCGCGCCCUCGGGCGCGGUGUACUUCCCGGGUCUGGACGGGCCAGCGUCGAUUUCGACCGUCGUACAAAGGCGCGAGGAACGUGGCACCUUCGGGUGUGUUAUAGCCUCGCGUUUUCCGUAUGCGACGGUGGGGAUCGAGGAUCGCAGCGCGCCUCCNACGGUC